rnacentral:tRNA from 1 species
GGGUGAUGAGGGUGAAUGCUAAAAACAAAUAGCUAAGGAGAGAACCAGUCAGUAACUGACUGGUUUGGGACCAGUGGGUCGGAGGUUCGAAUCCUCUCUCGCCGACCA